CCUACGGGGGGCAGCAGUGAGGGAUAUUGGUCAAUGGGGGAAACCCUGAACCAGCAACGCCGCGUGAGGGAAGACGGUUUUCGGAUUGUAAACCUCUGUCCUCUGUGAAGAUAAUGACGGUAGCAGAGGAGGAAGCUCCGGCUAACCACGUGCCAGCAGCCGCGGUAAUACGUAGGGGGCAAGCGUUAUCCGGAUUUACUGGGUGUAAAGGGAGCGUAGACGGCGCGGCAAGUCUGAAGUGAAAGGCAGGGGCUUAACCCCUGAACUGCUUUGGAAACUGCCAUGCUAGAGUGCUGGAGAGGUAG
rnacentral:rRNA from 1 species